rnacentral:misc_RNA from 1 species
CUGCGGAAGGAUCAUUAUAGAAAAUGACGUGAACUCUUAACGGAGUUCUCUCAAAGUGUUGGAGGGGAAGGCCUGCGCUUAAUUGCGCGGCUGUUUUUAAUCUCCUCCGCCUUUGAUACACACAUUGGAGUUUCUACUUUUUUGUUCUCUUUGGGAGGGUUCUGCUCUCCCAGAGGUAAACACAAACAAUCUUUUAUUAUACUAUUAACACAGUCAAAUGAAUUUUAAAAACAAAAUAUUCAAAACUUUCAACAACGGAUCUCUUGGUUCUCGCAUCGAUGAAGAACGCAGCGAACUGCGAUACGUAAUGUGAAUUGCAGAAUUCCGUGAAUCAUCGAAUCUUUGAACGCACAUUGCGCCCCUUGGUAUUCCGGGGGGCAUGCCUGUUUGAGCGUCAUUUCCCUCUCAAACUUUACGUUUGGUAGUGAGCGAUACUCUACUCUGGAGUUUGCUUGAAAAUGGGAGGCCAUAGGCGGAGCUUAGUUUGCGACUGUGCCGAGAGGCAUGGGAGCGGCCUAGCCACGAAAAGUCGUAUUAGGUUUUACCGACUCGGCGGAAUAGUGGAGAGGUUUCUUUUUUUUUUAUUCUAAGGUAAGCCGUCUGGCUAGACAAAAUUCUCAAAGUUUGACCUCAAAUCAGUUAGGAUUACCCGCUGAACUUAAGCAUAUC